rnacentral:rRNA from 1 species
UACGUAGGGUGCGAGCGUUGCCCGGAUUUAUUGGGCGUAAAGGGCGCGUAGGCGGCCACGCACGUCCGUUGUGAAAUCGCCCGGCUCAACUGGGCGGGGUCAGCGGAUACGGUGUGGCUCGAGCAAGCUAGGGGGCAAUGGAAUUCCCGGUGUAGUGGUGGAAUGCGUAGAUAUCGGGAAGAACACCCGUGGCGAAGGCGGCACUCUGGGACGGUACUGACGCUGAGACGCGAAAGCGUGGGGAGCGAACAGG